rnacentral:misc_RNA from 1 species
AGUAGAGAGAUCAAAUCUGGCACAUAUUUUUAAUAUCUGCUAAAAUUGAUAUACUAGGUACAUUGUGUUUAUUUAUACAUUGGACAAAGCCGCCCACUAAAGUCUGAUAAUCGGUAUUUCUGCAUCCAUUGUUAAUUUACGGGUCUUCUUAUACAGAGAUCUCCCUGAUGUUUGUAUGAAAUGAUUGAUUACCGUUAUACGGAUCACAUGACUAAAUCUGAUCACAUGGAAUGAUAUGGAUAAAAUGAUUGGUUACCGUUAGAUGUACCACGUGACUGAUCACCAUGACGUCACUGCCAAGAUCCUGUCAUUCACAUUAAGAGGAUGCAUCAAAGUUAAACAUUGAUGGAACUAAUAAACAUUUAACACAAAUUAUUAUUGACUUUUGAACGUAAAUGAAUUUUAAUUAAUUUUUUUUGUUAGUUUUAAUUAACAUUUUACAUGUAUUGAUUUUAAUUAUGAUAUUUUUUUAUUUCUUUCUGUGAUAGUUACAUGUACUAGUAAUCAUUUGAUAUAUUUGAAUCCGUCCAUGUUGUUAUCACUAUUAAUUCAUCAUAUAUAUAUAUAUAUAUAUAUAUAUUUAUGGCUUUUUGAACAAGCGUGAAGAGAUAGUUACAAUAAAGGAAGAAAAUU